rnacentral:rRNA from 1 species
UACGUAGGGUGCGAGCGUUAAUCGGAAUUACUGGGCGUAAAGCGUGCGCAGGCGGUUUUGUAAGUCAGAUGUGAAAUCCCCGGGCUUAACCUGGGAACUGCGUUUGAAACUACAAGGCUAGAGUGUGGCAGAGGGGGGUGGAAUUCCACGUGUAGCAGUGAAAUGCGUAGAGAUGUGGAGGAAUACCGAUGGCGAAGGCAGCCCCCUGGGC